CUACGGGGGGCAGCAGUGGGGAAUUUUGCGCAAUGGGCGAAAGCCUGACGCAGCAACGCCGCGUGAGGGAUGAAGGUUCUCGGAUCGUAAACCUCUUUCAGACGGGAAGAACACAAUGACGGUACCGUCAGAAGAAGCCCCGGCUAACUCCGUGCCAGCAGCCGCGAUAAUACGGAGGGGGCAAGCGUUGUUCGGAAUCAUUGGGCAUAAAGCGUAUGUAGGCGGCCAGAUAAGUCAGACGUGUAAGCCCACGGCUCAACCGUGGAAUUGCGUUUGAAACUGUCUGGCUUGAGUACGGGAGAGGAAAGCGGAAUUCCCAGUGUAGCGGUGAAAUGCAUUGAUAUUGGGAAGAACAUCGGUGGCGAAGGCGGCUUUCUGGCCCGAUACUGACGCUGAGAUACGAAAGCCAGGGGAGCAAACGGGAUUAGAUACCCUCGUAGUC
rnacentral:rRNA from 1 species